rnacentral:rRNA from 1 species
UACGAAGGGGGCGAGCGUUGUUCGGAUUUACUGGGCGUAAAGGGCGCGCAGGCGGCUCAUUUUGUCAGGCGUGAAAGCCCCGGGCUUAACCUGGGAACUGCGUUUGAUACGGAUGGGCUAGAGUUCGGGAGAGGAGAGUGGAAUUCCCAGUGUAGAGGUGAAAAUUCGUAGAUAUUGGGAAGAACACCGGUGGCGAAGGCGGCUCUCUGGACCGAGACUGACGCUGAGGCGCGAAAGCGUGGGGAGCAAACAGG